CACAGGUAUACAUUCCUCCACCUCGACCUGAACAAGAAUGAAUUUCUAUUGAAUGAUCUGUAUUUAUAUAUGAGAGAACCUGAUGUCAGUCCGGGGCCGGAGAAAAAGCAAUGCCGUGUUACAUGUGACAGGUAUACACGUGUUUCAAGGAAAAGUGAAUCUCCAACUACAGACUAACCCAACUCCAAGUCCAAAUCAUACUAAAGCUAUUAAAAUUACGCACACUUUGAGUUGUGCACACUAGCUGGUGAUUUUGGAAAACAAAUUAAAAAAGAUUAAAAAAAGGAAACCGCAUAUUAAAUUUGGGUGAAUUAUAAAAGCGAAUAAAAUAUUAAAUGAUCUAAUAGUGUAAAGGUACCUUCGAUGUGCAUCUAUUAGUGAUUGCGACCUACAGGUCAUGCCUAUGGCAGUUGUUAUCUCGUAUAAGAAGCGUUGCGGAGGAUCUCGUAUACUCAUGGCGUCUUGCGUAGAUCUCCAUGUCUAAAGUUGUACAAGACGUUGUGGUCCCUGGCAUGCCAGGAGAGUGAAAGAGGAUGGUGACGUCAGAGAUAAAAUAAACUAAAGGAAGUAGAUCUUCCUAUUCAAUUCUCCUUCAGAUGCCACCAUUCAGCAGAUAUGUCACCAGCAAUAUGGUCUUUGCAAAAUUUAAAGUCACCCCACAAGCGACAGGUUUGCUUUACUGUGGCAAAUUAAAAAAAAUAACUAUCUUAAAUGUUUAUGUUUAAACCAGCCACUGACAUUAUACUAAAUUGUUUGUUUUGUUUCGAGAUAUAUAAAAAUUUAAAAAAUGUCAUUUUAAGAAAUAUAGAAUUUUUGCCCUUGCAAAAUGCACUCGGGUUUAUGCGUUAAACAGUGAAUCCAAAUACAAUAACAGAUUUGGGAAAAAAUAAAUAAAUCACUAAUUCACCUGCAAUCACAGCUUGACAGGUUGAGUCUAAAUGUCCCAGUUUGUGUUUUCAAUUGGCUACAUUCGCUGUUUGGUGAAUAACCCCCUGUGUGCAUCUUCAGUGGAUGGGCGAUGACAGAAUUGUUGCUGCUGGGAUGUUCUGCUUUGAUACAGUAAGAGAUAUUUCUUUUCUUAUGAAUUGAGAUCUAUCUACGAUCCUUACUGCUGAUUGUUAACCGGCACACAAACCCAUAACUGUGUUCAACUUCUUAGAUUCAGGGGGAGAAUAAAAGAAUAUGUCUCCUAAAAAGUAUGAAACUUUUUCUGAAGUCCUAAACCAUUUUAAGUUCAAAAAUAAAUUGGGGCCCUUAAGGAAGCAAAAUAUUACUUAAUAUUUUUACAAUGCAAAUAGUAUUUACUGGUCAAAAUUUUCAAAAGGCAAUGUCAGUGUGUAAAGAGAAAUACUUAGAUCAUCAAAUUAAUGGUGAAAUCCAAUGCAUAUCGAACUGUCGACAGCAUUGAGAGCCCUUUGAUUUAUCACGUGACGGUUACUUCACACAGAUGGUGUCCGGCAAGGUUGACUUGAAUUGUUCAAUGUCUGGGAUCGUGGCUAUUUCCAAGUAGUUAAGAAGAAAACGUGCUAUUUAUUUUUUUACUUCUUCCUGGUAAAAUCCAACUUCUUCCGCUGUUUUCAUUAUGCUAGAAAUCCCGCGAUCAGCCU